UUCGCCCUUAGAGUUUGAUCCUGGCUCAGGACGAACGCUGGCGGCGUGCCUAACACAUGCAAGUCGAGCGGGGACAGGUAGCGGAAGUUCUUCGGGAUGGAAGGUAUUUGUUCUAGCGGCGGACGGGUGAGUAACGCGUGAGUAACCUGCCCUUCACAGGGGGAUAAGAUACCGAAAGGUGUUCUAAUACCGCAUGAGACCACAGAGCCACAUGGCUAAGGGGUCAAAGGAGCAAUCCGGUGAAAGAUGGACUCGCGUCUGAUUAGCUAGUUGGUGAGGUAACGGCCCACCAAGGCGACGAUCAGUAGCCGACCUGAGAGGGUGAUCGGCCACAUUGGGACUGAGACACGGCCCAAACUCCUACGGGAGGCAGCAGUGGGGAAUAUUGGGCAAUGGGGGAAACCCUGACCCAGCAACGCCGCGUGGAGGAAGAAGGUUUUCGGAUCGUAAACUCCUGUCCUUGGUGAAGAGAAGAAGACGGUAGCCAAGGAGGAAGCCCCGGCUAACUACGUGCCAACAGCCGCGGUAAUACGUAGGGGGCAAGCGUUGUCCGGAAUGAUUGGGCGUAAAGGGCGCGUAGGCGGCUCGGUAAGUCUGGAGUGAAAGUCCUGCUUUUAAGGUGGGAAUUGCUUUGGAUACUGUCGGGCUUGAGUGCAGGAGAGGUUAGUGGAAUUCCCAGUGUAGCGGUGAAAUGCGUAGAGAUUGGGAGGAACACCAGUGGCGAAGGCGACUAACUGGACUGUAACUGACGCUGAGGCGCGAAAGUGUGGGGAGCAAACAGGAUUAGAUACCCUGGUAGUCCACACUGUAAACGAUGAAUGCUAGGUGUAGGGGGUAUCGACCCCUUCUGUGCCGCAGUUAACACAGUAAGCAUUCCGCCUGGGGAGUACGGCCGCAAGGUUGAAACUCAAAGGAAUUGACGGGGGCCCGCACAAGCAGCGGAGCAUGUGGUUUAAUUCGACGCAACGCGAAGAACCUUACCAGGGCUUGACAUCCUCUGACCGCUCUAGAGAUAGAGUUUCCCUUCGGGGCAGAGAGACAGGUGGUGCAUGGUUGUCGUCAGCUCGUGUCGUGAGAUGUUUGGUUAAGUCCAAUAACGAGCGCAACCCCUAUGGUCAGUUGCCAUCAUUUAGUUGGGCACUCUGGCAAGACUGCCGCGGACAACGCGGAGGAAGGAGGGGACGACGUCAAAUCAUCAUGCCCCUUAUGUCCUGGGCUACACACGUAAUACAAUGGCAACGACAGAGGGCAGCGAACCCGCGAGGGCAAGCAAAUCCCCAAACGUUGUCUCAGUUCGGACUGCAGGCUGCAACCCGCCUGCACGAAGUCGGAAUUGCUAGUAAUGGCAGGUCAGCAUACUGCCGUGAAUACGUUCCCGGGCCUUGUACACACCGCCCGUCA
rnacentral:rRNA from 1 species